GAUGGCGGAUGAGGCCACGCGACGUGUUGUGUCUGAGAUCCCGGUGGUGAAGACUAACGCCGGACCCCGAGAUCGGGAGUUGUGGGUGCAGCGACUGAAGGAGGAAUAUCAGUCCCUUAUCUGGUAUGUGGAAAACAACAAGAAUGCUGACAACGAUUGGUUCCGACUGGAGUCCAACAAGGAAGGGACUCGGUGGUUUGGAAAAUGCUGGUAUAUCCAUGACCUCCUGAAAUAUUAGUUUGACAUCGAGUUUGACAUUCCUAUCACAUAUCCUACUACUGCCCUCAGAAAUUGCAGUUCCUGAGCUGGAUGGAAAGACAGCAAAGAUGUACAGGGGUGGCAAAAUAUGCCUGAUGGAUCAUUUCAAACCUUUGUGGGCCAGGAAUGUGCCCAAAUUUGGACUAGCUCAUCUCAUGGCUCUGGGGCUGGGUCCUGGGCUGGCAGUAGAAAUCCCUAAUCUGAUUCAGAAGGGCAUCAUCCAACACAAAGAGAAAUGCAACCAAUGAAGAAUCAAGCCACUGAGGCAGGGCAGAGGGCCCUUUGAUAGGCUAUGAUACUGUUUUCCUGUGCAUCAGCAGUCAUUGCUGGGGUAGAAACAAGCAAACACCAACCAGUAUUGCUACUUAGUUUCUAAGGCUGCACAAGGAAGGGAAAGCCUGGGCUUUGGACAAUCUAGAGGUAAUUUAUAUCCGCCCCCAGGUGGAGCAACAUGCGAUCCUGGAGGCAUGGGGGUAACUGAAAGUGAGUACAUAAAGUCUUUCUGGUUUCUGGAGAUAACCCAUCAAUAAAAGCCGCUUCCUCUGGUAAAAAAA